CCCUUAGAUGUCCUGGGCUGCACGCGCGCUACACUGGAAGUUACGGAUUGAGAUACUACCUUGUCCGAAAUGGUCCGGGUAAUCACCUAAAAGCUUGUCAUAAUUGGAAUGGAUUAUUGUAACUAGUAAUACUGAACGAGGAAUUCCUAGUAAGUCCCAGUCAACAGCUGGUACUGAUUACGUCCCUGCCCUUUGUACACACCGCCCGUCGCUACUACUGAUUGGACGUUUAAGCAAGAUUUUUAAACACUGACAGUGUGUAGUUCACGCUAUACUACAGUGAGAAGAAGAAGAUCGAGCUUACUUGUCUAGAGGAAGUAAAAGUCGUAACA
rnacentral:rRNA from 1 species